UAUGAACCUACAUAUUUCCUAUUCCUCCUGACCCAUAAACAUCAUCCAAAGCUUCGUCCGCAAUUAAGUAAAGGCGUUUCUACACCGAACAGCUGACACACAACCAAACACAUGAGAAAUAUACAAGAAGAAAAAAAAAACAACACAGAACAUGCAAUUAAAACAAUUUCACUCCAACAAACAAACAAAAUGACAUUAAAAAAAACAUCGAGACGUGCAAAAAACGAUUACAAUCAAUGAAACACAGAAAACAACAGGCUUAACACACUGGACUACUCACAAAUCAAACCGAAUCAACCAACAAAAAAACAUGAGGAACGAAAACACCAAAUAUAAUAUACAAACUGGACUCCAGACAACAACAGAAGAGAACACAAACAAAACACAGUGCCAGCAAUUCUACUUUGGGUUCGGAUCACCCGCAACAAUAUUUCAACUAAUUUUUGUGUGUUUUAUCUUUUUGUAACGCUAAUUCUGUGUACAUUACUAUUAUUUGACAAUAAAAUACAAAACAAAUUA